rnacentral:rRNA from 1 species
AACGGGGGGGCUGGCGAUAUUCAUCAUGGACUGGGCGUACAGGGCUCGUAGGUGGGUUUACUCAAUUAAAUGUCAAAUGCUGAAAAUUUUUUAAGCAGUUUCUUUAAUAUUGGGUAAUGCUCGAGUGUAAUGGAGGUUUGUGGUAUUCUUGGUGGAGAGGGUAAAAUGCAGCGAUAUCGAUGAAGACUAACAAAGGCGUAGGCAGCGGGCCACAUUAUAUACUGACACUGAGGAUCUAAAGUUUGGUCGCAAACAGG